GGUGGCUCAGUGCUAGAGUGCUUGCCUUGCAUGCAUGAGGCCCUGGGUUCGAUUCCUUAGCACCA
rfam:Dipodomys ordii contig_78121, whole genome shotgun sequence.